GUUUUAUAAUCCUUUUGGUUUCUUAAAAGUUACAUUUACAACAGUUAAACUCUUAAUUAGUGUCUUUUCCAUUGCAGUUUUAAAUUAAUUAUCAUAUGAUCAUGGAAAGAAUUAAAGUUUAUUCUGUGAAACUAAAGUGAAUUCAAAUUGAAUUAAAAGUGAAUUCAGAUUUCCAUGGGAAUGAGAAAGAAGACGCUAAUGGAUAAAAUGAUAAAAGCUGUGUUUAAGGACUAGCUCAAGGACUGAAAAGCAAAAAGAAUGAAAUUGUUUCAUUACUUUGAAUCAUUAUAAAGAAUUCUAUUACCAGGACUACAUAGCACGCCUCUUUACAUAUGGUUUCACAUGCCCAAUAUGGACGACUGAUAUCUCGAAUCAACGGCAUCAUAGCUGCAACCAACCCUAAGCCUGCCAAGCUUAAUAUGGCCUCAUAGGGGGUGGGUAACCAAACCACUCAGCCCAGUCGGGUUAUGGCAGGAAUCUGCUAGAUGAUGCUGAUUUCGAUGAAAGUUGGAAGAGAUGAAGUGAGAAAAUUGUGAUUCUAAAGGCUUCUUGACAAACCAUUGAUUUCUUGGGUGACACCAUAAAUUUUCAGGACUCCUAAAAAUGAAACAAUGAAAAAUUUAAACAUCUUUUUUCAACGGAAAUCAUGGAGACUCGUCUAACAACUUUCAAUGGUUAUUUUAUUAUUUAUAAUUAUUAUCAUUAUUAUCCUUUGCGAUUCGCUUGACUAAUGGUUCUGGUCAUCUCCAUGGAAAUGUGAUUCAAAGAUGACAAAACAACACUAACAACAGUUAUCCAUUGAAUACGGCUGUCAACUUACAACUGUACAGUGAUAGUUUGAAUUGAACUUAAUUGCUGUUUACUCUAUCUCUUCAAUCAUUCAUUUAUGCUAAUUGAUUGUAACAUUUAUGAUUUAAAUAAUCAUAUCAAGUAGGAAACCGAAUUAUAUUGAAUCAAUUUUGAUACGAUUACUGAGUCAAACCAAUAUAACUGUAUUAAAUAGUGAGAUGAUCAUUUAAACUUUAAGAUUCAUUUCCAAAGGAGUGUUCAGUCUCAAUUACAGGUUUAUGAUUUUGAAUGUCCAUUCAUUCAAAUUUGUAAUUAUUAUUAACUAUCAAAAUUGAUUAUUUCUCAUCGUCUUAAUAUCAUUGCAUCAUUGAACCAAACCUUUAACUGUGAGACAAUUUAUACAACAAAUUAUUCAUUCGUUAACCAAACAUAAAGCCUGUUUACCUGUAAUGCAACCAAAUAAUCAAUUUGAUUGUUUCAAAAACAAUAAGAAAAUCGGACUUUAAGCAAAUAA